rnacentral:rRNA from 1 species
GAUGAACGCUGGCGGCGUGCCUAAUACAUGCAAGUCGAGCGAACAGACGAGGAGCUUGCUCCUCUGACGUUAGCGGCGGACGGGUGAGUAACACGUGGAUAACCUACCUAUAAGACUGGGAUAACUUCGGGAAACCGGCGCUAAUACCGGAUAAUAUAUUGAACCGCAUGGUUCAAUAGUGAAAGACGGUUUUGCUGUCACUUAUAGAUGGAUCAGCGCCGCAUUAGCUAGUUGGUAAGGUAAUGGCUUACCAAGGCGACGAUGCGUAGCCGACCUGAGAGGGUGAUCGGCCACACUGGAACUGAGAAACGGUCCAGACUCCGACGGGAGGCAGCAGUAGGGAAUCUUCCGCAAUGGGCGAAAGCCUGACGGAGCAACGCCGCGUGAGUGAUGAAGGUCUUCGGAUCGUAAAACUCUGUUAUUAGGGAAGAACAAAUGUGUAAGUAACUAUGCACGUCUUGACGGUACCUAAUCAGAAAGCCACGGCUAACUACGUG